CUACGGGUGGCACCAGUGGGGAAUAUUGCACAAUGGGGGAAACCCUGAUGCAGCCAUGCCGCGUGUGUGAAGAAGGCCUUCGGGUUGUAAAGCACUUUCAGCGAGGAGGAAAGGUUGGUAGCUAAUAUCUGCCAGCUGUGACGUUACUCGCAGAAGAAGCACCGGCUAACUCCGUGCCAGCAGCCGCGGUAAUACGGAGGGUGCAAGCGUUAAUCGGAAUUACUGGGCGUAAAGCGCACGCAGGCGGUUGGAUAAGUUAGAUGUGAAAGCCCCGGGCUCAACCUGGGAAUUGCAUUUAAAACUGUCCAGCUAGAGUCUUGUAGAGGGGGGUAGAAUUCCAGGUGUAGCGGUGAAAUGCGUAGAGAUCUGGAGGAAUACCGGUGGCGAAGGCGGCCCCCUGGACAAAGACUGACGCUCAGGUGCGAAAGCGUGGGGAGCAAACAGGAUUAGAUACUCUUGUAGUC
rnacentral:rRNA from 1 species